UACGAAGGGGGCUAGCGUUGUUCGGAUUUACUGGGCGUAAAGAGCUCGUAGGCGGCUCAGUAAGUCAGGUGUGAAAACUCCAGGCUCAACCUGGAGACGCCACCUGAUACUGCUGUGGCUAGAGUCCGGUAGGGGAGCAUGGAAUUCCUGGUGUAGCGGUGAAAUGCGCAGAUAUCAGGAGGAACACCAGUGGCGAAGGCGGUGCUCUGGGCCGGAACUGACGCUGAGGAGCGAAAGCGUGGGGAGCAAACAGG
rnacentral:rRNA from 1 species